CCUACGGGAGGCAGCAGUGAGGAAUAUUGGUCAAUGGACGAGAGUCUGAACCAGCCAAGUAGCGUGAAGGAUGACUGCCCUACGGGUUGUAAACUUCUUUUAUAAAGGAAUAAAACGAGGCACGUGUGCCUUUUUGCAUGUACUUUAUGAAUAAGGAUUGGCUAACUCCGUGCCAGCAGCCGCGGUAAUACGGAGGAUCCGAGCGUUAUCCGGAUUUAUUGGGUUUAAAGGGAGCGUAGAUGGGUUGUUAAGUCAGUUGUGAAAGUUUGCGGCUCAACCGUAAAAUUGCAAUUGAUACUGGCAGUCUUGAGUACAGGUGAGGUAGGCGGAAUUCGUGGUGUAGCGGUGAAAUGCUUAGAUAUCACGAAGAACCCCGAUUGCGAAGGCAGCUUACCAAACUGUGACUGACAUUGAUGCUCGAAAGUGUGGGUAUCAAACAGGAUUAGAUACCCCAGUAGUC
rnacentral:rRNA from 1 species